AAACCAGCACCUCAAGUGGUCAGGAGGAUUAUUGGGCCUAAAGCAUCCGUAGCCUGUUCUGUAAGUUUUCGGUUAAAUCCAUUCGCUCAACUAAUGGGCCGCCGAAAAUACUGUAGAACUAGGGAGUGGGAGAGGUAGACGGUAUUCGGUAGGAAGGGGUAAAAUCCUUUGAUCUAUUGAGGACCACCUGUGGCGAAGGCGGUCUACCAGAACACGUUCGACGGUGAGGGAUGAAAGCUGGGGGAGCAAACCGGAUUAGAAACCCGAGUAGUCC
rnacentral:rRNA from 1 species